rnacentral:rRNA from 1 species
AUUGAACGCUGGCGGCAUGCCUUACACAUGCAAGUCGAACGGCAGCACGGGAGCAAUCCUGGUGGCGAGUGGCGAACGGGUGAGUAAUAUAUCGGAACGUGCCCAGUCGUGGGGGAUAACGUAGCGAAAGCUACGCUAAUACCGCAUACGAUCUACGGAUGAAAGCGGGGGAUCGCAAGACCUCGCGCGAUUGGAGCGGCCGAUAUCAGAUUAGCUAGUUGGUGGGGUAAAAGCUCACCAAGGCGACGAUCUGUAGCUGGUCUGAGAGGACGACCAGCCACACUGGAACUGAGACACGGUCCAGACUCCUACGGGAGGCAGCAGUGGGGAAUUUUGGACAAUGGGCGCAAGCCUGAUCCAGCAAUGCCGCGUGCAGGAUGAAGGCCUUCGGGUUGUAAACUGCUUUUGUACGGAACGAAACGGUGAGCUCUAAUAAAGCUUGCUAAUGACGGUACCGUAAGAAUAAGCACCGGCUAACUAUGUG